UACGGAGGGUGCAAGCGUUGUCCGGAUUUAUUGGGUUUAAAGGGUGCGUAGGCGGCCGAUUAAGUCUGGGGUGAAAGCCUGUUGCUCAACAACGGAACUGCCCUGGAAACUGGUCGGCUUGAGUACAGACGAGGGUGGCGGAAUGGAUGGUGUAGCGGUGAAAUGCAUAGAUACCAUCCAGAACCCCGAUUGCGAAGGCAGCUGCCUAGACUGUAACUGACGCUGAGGCACGAAAGCGUGGGGAGCGAACAGG
rnacentral:rRNA from 1 species